rfam:Aedes albopictus isolate Foshan contig77450, whole genome shotgun sequence.
UGUUCUGUGGCUUAGUUGGCUAAAGCGCCGGUCUGACGAAUAGAGAGUCGUGGGUUCAAAUACCAUUAGAACUC